CGGGAUGUAGCGCAGUCUGGUUAGCGCGCCUGCUUCGGGAGCAGGAGGUCGGAAGUUCAAAUCUUCUCAUCCCGACCA
rnacentral:tRNA from 1 species